AGGAGGCCAAGAGCGUCAUGAGGAAGAAGGCGAUGCCCACGGCCAGAGGCAGGUGUUCCCGCUUGGGGCUGGUCCCACUGAUGCUCUUCUCAAGCUUGGGCACCUGGGGAUUCUCUCCCUCAAAGUCUUCUGUGGAAAGAUAAAUAGGCAAACUGGAAGCCAAGGGAGCCCCAAAGCAGGGAGGCAAGGAUGCGGACGUGGUUGGAAACCGACGCUACUCACUGGAGGCGCAGCAGACGAACACCUUCAUCCUCAGACACUUCCAGUGCAGGUUGUGAGUGGGCGUGGCUGGGGAGGAGAUUUCUUUCACUCACUUGGUGCCCUUGCGGCUUUAACAUAGACUCCCAUCCCCCUCCAAAUUGCCCGCAUCCGGCUGUGUCCCCAAGUCUCUGCUCCAAUCUUUCUUUGGACAUUGGUCACCAUGACUUCGUGGCUAGCCCAUCCCAACAGAAAUGCUCUGCGACCCAAAUUUGGGACUGUCACCCCAUCCCCACAGCCUUGCAACUUCUCAGAGCUGAAACCCUGAAGCCUAUCCCUGGUGACCACUACAACGGCUGGCCGGGGAUCCCUGGGACCCCACCCUGUCAUUCAGAAGACCCAGGACCCGGCACUCACAGAUGUAGUAGUAUUCUUGGCCGGCAUGGAAUUCAUAGCCCAGCGAGAAGGCGCUGUAACGCUGGAACUUCUCGGAGAACUUGAUGGGGCUGUGCGAGGCGUGCUGCCGGUUGCAUUCCCAGCGCUUGGAGCCUUGGCUGGCGUUGCAGAUGAGUCUCUGCGACAGAGAAGCAGAUCUGGAUGCCCUGGAAGUCUCGCCUGCCUGACAGUCCCAUCUAAGUGUUGCUGUGGACAUCCUUUGUGGUGGCACUGAACGGUGUAGGGAGUCAGAGGCAGCUCAAUCCACACGUGUGGAAGAUCGGGUAGAAGUCGUCUUUAACUUCUUUAAGGCAAGUAUGCACACAUGUUGGUAGUGCUAUGGGACUGUUGUGGGCACAGGGAAGCAUGGGCCACAGGGUAAAAUGUCAAUCCAUCGGGGUCCCUAGACCCUGAGAACUCACUGAGGGAAAGAACUGGCUCCCCAUGUCACCAAGCAGAACCUUGUUUCACAAACAAUAAUUAGACACAUUAGGGAAAUGAUCUUGGAGGCCUCUUCUUGGGAUGAGGCCUUGAGGGUCCUCCCUGUCAUUACCCAACAUCGUUGGCUGUACUUGUGUUGCCCGGUCCCCAAGACUAGGAACGAGGCAGAUGGGUAACAGCUGGUGUUUGGACUCUCUAGUAAGAACGGGCACAGCCUUCUUGAGUCAUCAGGAAUGCCACCAGUCCCACUUGGUUCCCAUGGGAGUGAUGGGUCACUCAGGCCCCUCCCUGUCCCUGGCACUCAGGUGGGCAGGAGUCUCGACGGGGCGCUGGGAGCAGGAAAACGGGUUAGACAAGGCCUGAUUGCUCCCAGGCACCACCCAUGCAUUGUGUGUCCACCCUAAACCCUAGGCUCCUGUUCCUUCCCUAAGGACCUGGGGAGGGGGCGGCCAGCUAGCCAGCACAUGGUGGCAGGCCUGGGGCAGCCCCAUAGCUCCCCUGGGGCCUUGUUCCCUUGGCCUCACCCGUGUAUCCGGUUUGAUUUGGAAGCAGCUCCUCCCUGCAGCUGCCCCAUCCCUUCCAACCACACACCCAUUACAGUGGAUUUUAAGCCAACUCCAAAGAUGUUCCUACAGGUGGUGCCUCAGUUUCCUCAAGACGGUGAGCUGGGUAUAUUUAGUGGUUGCUGUGUGACAGCGACAAGAGAAGAAGCCUCCUCUUACCUAUCUCUGUGAUUGACGGCAGAAAAGCCCCAGAAAUGCACCCCCCCC
ensembl:antisense Gm15998 predicted gene 15998